rnacentral:lncRNA from 13 species
GUAAUCCAGCCUUGCCGAGCCUGGCCCUUCCAGGGCCUGGAGGAGGGGCAACCUGGGCGAUGCUGACAGACCAGAGGGACCCGUCUUUGUUUCAAACCCACACUGGGACACACAAGUCCUUGCAAGCUGGAAUCUCUGGGUACAGGGCCCUCUCCAGGGGAAAAGCUUGCAAGGAACAAGUGGAUCUCAUGUGGAAAGGCAGAGCAUGUGUGGACAGUGAAAGCACAAAAAAGGCUGCAGCAUUUCUGGGGCUUCUGCUUCUAUGGUUGAGCGCAUAUUUGAUUCGGAACCGGUGGGCCAUGAUCAACGUGAGUUUCCUGAGACGAGACUGGUGCUUGCACGGGAAAUGGGUCACAGCACCCAAGGGCAAUGGUGCAAUGGCAGAAUCGCUCCAAGGCUGAAAGGCUCUGAAGCGAUCACCCCAAGUUCUGUGAGAGGCCUUAUGAACCCUUGCCAAGGAGACUGACAUUAUUUAGGUGUGGUCUGGGGGUGGACCAGCUGAGGUAUGCGGGGUUCUUCUGAGGGCUACGUCGGGUGACAGUUUAUUUCCUGCUAAGACACAGCACUGUGGGUGCACGAACCCGCAGCUGCAUGGAGACCCCCUCCAGGCUCCUGAGCAGGGGUGCCUGCAGUUCCCACCCGGGCCCCACAUGUGGGGAGGGGAUGGCUGGAUCAGGAACAGCCACAUGCAGCCCCAGAGAUCAGGGGACUUGGCCACGGCAGUCUCACGCCAGCUCAGCAGCCCCGCCACAGCUACAUGGCCCCAGUGACAGGCCACCUCAGCAGGGAACCAGGUGGGCGACCAGGCCCCGGAGCUUCCCUCCUGGCCUCAGCAGCUGCAGUCCUGCUCCACCAGAAGUGCC